UACGUAGGGGGCAAGCGUUGUCCGGAUUUAUUGGGCGUAAAGCGCGUGUAGGCGGCCAGAUAGGUCAGCUGUGAAAACUCGAGGCUCAACCUCGAGCUGUCGGCGGAAACCAUCUGGCUAGAGUCCGGAAGAGGAGAGUGGAAUUCCUGGUGUAGCGGUGAAAUGCGCAGAUAUCAGGAAGAACACCUAUGGCGAAGGCAGCUCUCUGGGACGGUACUGACGCUGAGACGCGAAAGCGUGGGGAGCGAACAGG
rnacentral:rRNA from 1 species